rnacentral:tRNA from 1 species
GGGGGAUUAGCUCAGCGGUUAGAGCUCUCGGUUUACACCCGAGGAGUCAGGAGUUCGAAUCUUCUAUCCCCCACCA